rnacentral:rRNA from 1 species
UGAAUACGAGACGCUAAGGCGUCGAAGUAGUGUAUGUCAUACUUCCAAGAAAAGCUUGCACUGUCAUAGAUAAAAAACGCCUGUACCAUAACCGACACAGGUGGGUAGGUAGAGUAUACUAAGGGGCGCGAGAUAACUCUCUCUAAGGAACUCGGCAAAAUAACUCCGUAACUUCGGGAGAAGGAGUGCCUUAUUCGUAAGGUUGCAAUAACAAGAUCCAAGCAACUGUUUAUCAAAAACACAGGUCUCCGCUAAGUCGUAAGACGAUGUAUGGGGGCUGACGCCUGCCCAGUGCCAGAAGGUUAAAGAAGUUGGUUAGCAAUUGCGAAGCUGAUAACUGAAGCCCUGGUGAACGGCGGCCGUAACUAUAACGGUCCUAAGGUAGCGAAAUUCCUUGUCGGGUAAGUUCCGACCCGCGCGAAAGGCGUAAUGAUUUGGAUACUGUCUCGGAGAGGGGCUCGGUGAAAUAGACUUGUCUGUGAAGAUGCGGACUACCUGCACCAGGACAGAAAGACCCUAUGAAGCUUUACUGUAACUUGAAAUUGAAAUUGGACUUUAUUCGCGCAGUAUAGGUGGGAGGCGUUGAUUAUAAUCUUGUGGGAUUAUUGGAGCCAUCAGUGAGAUACCACUCUUGUAAUGUUAGAUUUCUAACUUUGAAUCAUUAUCUGGUCAAAGAACAGUUUCAGGCGGGCAGUUUGACUGGGGCGGUCGCCUCCUAAACGGUAACGGAGGCGUACAAAGGUUUCCUCUGAACGGUUAGAAAUCGUAUCUAGAGUGUAAAGGCAUAAGGAAGCUUGACUGUGAGACCUACAAGUCGAGCAGGGACGAAAGUCGGUCUUAGUGAUCUGACGGUACUGAGUGGAAAGGCCGUCACUCAACGGAUAAAAGUUACUCUAGGAUAACAGGCUGAUCUCCCCCAAGAGUUCACAUCGACGGGGAGGUUUGGCACCUCGAUGUCGGCUCAUCGCAUCCUGGGGCGGUAGUACGUCCCAAGGGUUGGGCUGUUCGCCCAUGAAAGCGGUACGCGAGCUGGGUUCAGAACGUCGUGAGACAGUUCGGUCCAUAUCCGGUGUAGGCGUUAGAAUAUUGAGAGGAGCCUUCUUUAGUACGAGAGGACCGAGAAGGACAUACCUCUGGUGUACCAGUUAUCGUGCCAACGGUAAACGCUGGGUAGCUAUGUAUGGAGUGGAUAACCGCUGAAAGCAUCUAAGUGGGAAGCCCACCUCAAGAUAAGUAUUCUCAUC